CCAGACUCCUACGGGAGGCAGCAGUGGGGAAUCUUCCGCAAUGGUCUAAAGCCUGACGGAGCAACGCCGCGUGAUCGAAUGAAGGCCUUCGGGUUGUAAAGAUCUGUUGACAGGGACGAAUAAGCAAUGCGAAUAGUUUUGUGUAUGACGGUACCUGUUUAGAAAGCUCCGGCUAACUACGUGCCAGCAGCCGCGGUAAUACGUAGGGAGCAAGCUUUGUCCGGAAUUACUGGGCGUAAAGGGCGCGUAGGUGGGCGCUUAAGUCAGGUGUGAAAACUCCGGGCUAACACGGGAGACUGCACUUGAAACUGGGUGUCUUGAGGGAAGGAGAGGAAAGUGGAAUUCCUAGUGUAGAGGUGAAAUGAGUAGAUAUUAGGAGGAAAACCAGUGGAGAAGGCGACUUUAUGGAAUGUACCUGAAGAUGAGGAGAGAAAGAGUGGGUAGCGAAAGGGAUUAGAUAAUCCGGUA
rnacentral:rRNA from 1 species